rnacentral:rRNA from 1 species
AGCGAACGCUGGCGGCAGGCCUAACACAUGCAAGUCGAACGGAUCCUUCGGGAUUAGUGGCGGACGGGUGAGUAACACGUGGGAACGUGCCCUUUGGUUCGGAACAACUCAGGGAAACUUGAGCUAAUACCGGAUGUGCCCUUCGGGGGAAAGAUUUAUCGCCAUUGGAGCGGCCCGCGUCUGAUUAGCUAGUUGGUGAGGUAGCGGCCCACCAAGGCGACGAUCAGUAGCUGGUCUGAGAGGAUGAUCAGCCACACUGGGACUGAGACACGGCCCAGACUCCUACGGGAGGCAGCAGUGGGGAAUCUUGCGCAAUGGGCGAAAGCCUGACGCAGCCAUGCCGCGUGAAUGAUGAAGGUCUUAGGAUUGUAAAAUUCUUUCAGCGGGGACGAUAAUGACGGUACCCGCAGAAGAAGCUCCGGCUAACUUCGUG